GCUUGUCUCAAAGAUUAAGCCAUGCAUGUCUUUUUAUAAGCAACUUUGUACUGUGAAACUGCGAAUGGCUCAUUAAAUCAGUUAUAGUUUAUUUGAUGGUUUUUGCUACAUGGAUAACUGUGGUAAUUCUAGAGCUAAUAUAUGCAUUCAAGCCCCGACUUCUGGAUGGGGUGUAUUUAUUAGAUAAAAAUCAACUUUGUUGGUGAAUCAUAAUAACUUCUCGGACCGCAUGGCCUCGUGCUGGCGGUGCUUCAUUCAAAUAUCUGCCCUAUCAACUGUCGAUGGUAGGAUAGAGGCCUACCAUGGUUGCAACGGGUAACGGGGAAUAAGGGUUCGAUUCCGGAGAGGGAAA
rnacentral:rRNA from 1 species